rnacentral:rRNA from 1 species
UACGAAGGGGGCUAGCGUUGUUCGGAUUUACUGGGCGUAAAGGGCGCGCAGGCGGUUUUUCAAGUCGGGUGUGAAAGCCCCGGGCUCAACCUGGGAACUGCACUCGAGACUGAAGAACUAGAGUUCGGGAGAGGAUGGCGGAAUUCCCAGUGUAGAGGUGAAAUUCGUAGAUAUUGGGAAGAACACCGGUGGCGAAGGCGGCCAUCUGGACCGAGACUGACGCUGAGGCGCGAAAGCGUGGGGAGCAAACAGG